rnacentral:rRNA from 1 species
CGUGCUAAUCUGCGAUAAGCGUCGGUAAGGUGAUAUGAACCGUUAUAACCGGCGAUUUCCGAAUGGGGAAACCCAGUGUGAUUCGUCACACUAUCAUUAACUGAAUCCAUAGGUUAAUGAGGCGAACCGGGGGAACUGAAACAUCUAAGUACCCCGAGGAAAAGAAAUCAACCGAGAUUCCCCCAGUAGCGGCGAGCGAACGGGGAGCAGCCCAGAGCCUGAAUCAGUGUGUGUGUUAGUGGAAGCGUCUGGAAAGGCGCGCGAUACAGGGUGACAGCCCCGUACACAAAAAUGCACAUGCUGUGAGCUCGAUGAGUAGGGCGGGACACGUGGUAUCCUGUCUGAAUAUGGGGGGACCAUCCUCCAAGGCUAAAUACUCCUGACUGACCGAUAGUGAACCAGUACCGUGAGGGAAAGGCGAAAAGAACCCCGGCGAGGGGAGUGAAAAAGAACCUGAAACCGUGUACGUACAAGCAGUGGGAGCACAGAGCAAUCUGUGUGACUGCGUACCUUUUGUAUAAUGGGUCAGCGACUUAUAUUCUGUAGCAAGGUUAACCGAAUAGGGGAGCCGAAGGGAAACCGAGUCUUAACUGGGCGUUAAGUUGCAGGGUAUAGACCCGAAACCCGGUGAUCUAGCCAUGGGCAGGUUGAAGGUUGGGUAACACUAACUGGAGGACCGAACCGACUAAUGUUGAAAAAUUAGCGGAUGACUUGUGGCUGGGGGUGAAAGGCCAAUCAAACCGGGAGAUAGCUGGUUCUCCCCGAAAGCUAUUUAGGUAGCGCCUCGUGAAUUCAUCUCCGGGGGUAGAGCACUGUUUCGGCAAGGGGGUCAUCCCGACUUACCAACCCGAUGCAAACUGCGAAUACCGGAGAAUGUUAUCACGGGAGACACACGGCGGGUGCUAACGUCCGUCGUGAAGAGGGAAACAACCCAGACCGCCAGCUAAGGUCCCAAAGUCAUGGUUAAGUGGGAAACGAUGUGGGAAGGCCCAGACAGCCAGGAUGUUGGCUUAGAAGCAGCCAUCAUUUAAAGAAAGCGUAAUAGCUCACUGGUCGAGUCGGCCUGCGCGGAAGAUGUAACGGGGCUAAACCAUGCACCGAAGCUGCGGCAGCGACGCUGAUGCGUUGUUGGGUAGGGGAGCGUUCUGUAAGCCUGCGAAGGUGUGCUGUGAGGCAUGCUGGAGGUAUCAGAAGUGCGAAUGCUGACAUAAGUAACGAUAAAGCGGGUGAAAAGCCCGCUCGCCGGAAGACCAAGGGUUCCUGUCCAACGUUAAUCGGGGCAGGGUGAGUCGACCCCUAAGGCGAGGCCGAAAGGCGUAGUCGAUGGGAAACAGGUUAAUAUUCCUGUACUUGGUGUUACUGCGAAGGGGGGACGGAGAAGGCUAUGUUGGCCGGGCGACGGUUGUCCCGGUUUAAGCGUGUAGGCUGGUUUUCCAGGCAAAUCCGGAAAAUCAAGGCUGAGGCGUGAUGACGAGGCACUACGGUGCUGAAGCAACAAAUGCCCUGCUUCCAGGAAAAGCCUCUAAGCAUCAGGUAACAUCAAAUCGUACCCCAAACCGACACAGGUGGUCAGGUAGAGAAUACCAAGGCGCUUGAGAGAACUCGGGUGAAGGAACUAGGCAAAAUGGUGCCGUAACUUCGGGAGAAGGCACGCUGAUAUGUAGGUGAAGUCCCUCGCGGAUGGAGCUGAAAUCAGUCGAAGAUACCAGCUGGCUGCAACUGUUUAUUAAAAACACAGCACUGUGCAAACACGAAAGUGGACGUAUACGGUGUGACGCCUGCCCGGUGCCGGAAGGUUAAUUGAUGGGGUUAGCGCAAGCGAAGCUCUUGAUCGAAGCCCCGGUAAACGGCGGCCGUAACUAUAACGGUCCUAAGGUAGCGAAAUUCCUUGUCGGGUAAGUUCCGACCUGCACGAAUGGCGUAAUGAUGGCCAGGCUGUCUCCACCCGAGACUCAGUGAAAUUGAACUCGCUGUGAAGAUGCAGUGUACCCGCGGCAAGACGGAAAGACCCCGUGAACCUUUACUAUAGCUUGACACUGAACAUUGAGCCUUGAUGUGUAGGAUAGGUGGGAGGCUUUGAAGUGUGGACGCCAGUCUGCAUGGAGCCGGCCUUGAAAUACCACCCUUUAAUGUUUGAUGUUCUAACGUUGACCCGUAAUCCGGGUUGCGGACAGUGUCUGGUGGGUAGUUUGACUGGGGCGGUCUCCUCCUAAAGAGUAACGGAGGAGCACGAAGGUUGGCUAAUCCUGGUCGGACAUCAGGAGGUUAGUGCAAUGGCAUAAGCCAGCUUGACUGCGAGCGUGACGGCGCGAGCAGGUGCGAAAGCAGGUCAUAGUGAUCCGGUGGUUCUGAAUGGAAGGGCCAUCGCUCAACGGAUAAAAGGUACUCCGGGGAUAACAGGCUGAUACCGCCCAAGAGUUCAUAUCGACGGCGGUGUUUGGCACCUCGAUGUCGGCUCAUCACAUCCUGGGGCUGAAGUAGGUCCCAAGGGUAUGGCUGUUCGCCAUUUAAAGUGGUACGCGAGCUGGGUUUAGAACGUCGUGAGACAGUUCGGUCCCUAUCUGCCGUGGGCGCUGGAGAACUGAGGGGGGCUGCUCCUAGUACGAGAGGACCGGAGUGGACGCAUCACUGGUGUUCGGGUUGUCAUGCCAAUGGCACUGCCCGGUAGCUAAAUGCGGAAGAGAUAAGUGCUGAAAGCAUCUAAGCACGAAACUUGCCCCGAGAUGAGUUCUCCCUGACUCCUUGAGAGUCCUGAAGGAACGUUGAAGACGACGACGUUGAUAGGCCGGGUGUGUAAGCGCAGCGAUGCGUUGAGCUAACCGGUACUAAUGAACCGUGAGGCUUAACCUU